GAUGAAGAACGCAGUGAAAUGCGAUAAGUAGUGUGAAUUGCAGAAUUCAGUGAAUCAUCGAAUCUUUGAACGCACAUUGCGCCCCUUGGUAUUCCAUGGGGCAUGCCUGUUCGAGCGUCAUUUGUACCUUCAAGCCUUGCUUGGUGUUGGGUGUUUGUCUCGCCUCUGCGCGCAGACUCGCCUCAAAACAAUUGGCAGCCGGCGUAUUGAUUUCGGAGCGCAGUACAUCUCGCGCUUUGCACUCAGAACGACGACGUCCAAAAGUACAUUUUUACACACUUGACCUCGGAUCAGGUAGGGAUACCCGCUGAACUUAAGCAUAUCAAUAAGCGGAGGA
rnacentral:misc_RNA from 1 species